GUCUUAUCUCUGGCAGCACAUAUACUAAAACAGGAAUGAUACAGAGAAGAUUAUCAUGCCCUGGGCAAGGGUGAAAUGCAAAUUUGUAAACAAUUCCAUUUAAAA
ensembl:snRNA U6 U6 spliceosomal RNA